UGCUGGGGUGGCAGUAGCGACUUGCAGAUGGCUGGGGUCUUGCCGACCAGCCAGGUUUGCUGGAACACUGAGCUCCAGGUUCUGUGAAAGAGCCUGUGCCAAAAAGUAAGAUGGGGAGGAAUAGAGAACGGCACUCUGUAUUGACUUCUGGGUUUCUGCAAGUUCAUACAUGGGCAUGUGCACCCACACACAUGUGCACACAUAUGUGCACGCACAUACAUGUGCAUCCACACACAUGCUCACGUACAUGUAUACACAUACAAGCACACAUACACAAGUACACAUACACACAUACAUGUGCACAUACAUGUACAUCUACGCACGUGCUAACAUGCAUUUGCUCACAUGCAUGUACAUACAUUUACAAGCACACAUACACAAGUACACAUAUACACACACAUACAUGUGCACAUACAUAUAUUACAUAUAUUCUUAUUUCCUCCAGCUCCCACGAAAUUAGAAAAAUGAAAAGGAA
rnacentral:lncRNA from 1 species